AUGGAGGGCUUUCCCAAGGGCCAGCAGUGCCUCAUCUUCGCCAACAAACAGCUGGAGGGCGACAACCGCAGCUUGGCUGACCACAACAUCUGGAAGGAGUCCACCCUCCUCAUUCUCCGCCCGUGUAGGCCAAGAGAAAGUAGGAUGAUGCACAUUUUUGUCAAGACUCUGGACGGGAAGACCCUCACCCUUGAGGUUGAGAGCUCGUAUACCAUCGAGAAUGUCAAGGUGAAGUUCUACGAGCAGGAAGGCACCCCCUGUGCAGCAGCGCCUUAUCUUUGA
rnacentral:rRNA from 1 species